rnacentral:rRNA from 1 species
AACGAACGCUGGCGGCGUGCUUAACACAUGCAAGUCGAACGCGAAAGCCUGGGCAACUGGGCGAGUAGAGUGGCGAACGGGUGAGUAAUACGUGAGUAACCUACCCUCAAGUGGGGAAUAACUCCUCGAAAGGGGAGCUAAUACCGCAUAAGACCACGACUUCUUUGGGAGUUGAGGUCAAAGGUGGCCUCAUCAAUCAGAGCGUUUGGGCACAUAUUCUGUACUUUGCUGGGAAGAAUGUGUGCCCCAGCGUCUUUGUCAGUGAAGCUAUCGCUUGGAGGAGGGGCUCGCGGCCCAUCAGCUAGUUGGUAGGGUAACGGCCUACCAAGGCGACGACGGUAGCUGGUCUGAGAGGACGACCAGCC